rnacentral:rRNA from 1 species
GUAGGUGACAAGCGUUAUCCGGAAUUACUGGGCGUAAAGCGCACGCAGGCGGCUGCGUAAGUCUGACGUGAAAUCUCCCGGCUUAACCGGGGGCGGUCGUUGGAAACUAUGCGGCUUGAGGCGAUGAGAGGGGUGUGGAAUUCCCGGUGUAGUGGUGGAAUGCGUAGAUAUCGGGAGGAACAUCAGUGGCGAAAGCGGCACCCUGGCAUUAGCCUGACGCUCAGGUGCGAAAGCGUGUGGAGCGAACGGGAUUAGAUACCCCGGUAGUCCACGCCGUAAACGAUGAACACUAGGUGUGGGUGGUCUCAAAAUCAUCUGUGCCGAAGUAAACGCGAUAAGUGUUCCGCCUGGGGAGUACGGCCGCAAGGCUA